CCUACGGGUGGCAGCAGUGAGGAAUAUUGGUCAAUGGGCGCGAGCCUGAACCAGCCAAGUAGCGUGAAGGAUGACUGCCCUACGGGUUGUAAACUUCUUUUAUAUAGGAAUAAAGUGAGGUGUGUGUGCCUUUUUGUAUGUACUUUAUGAAUAAGGAUCGGCUAACUCCGUGCCAGCAGCCGCGGUAAUACGGAGGAUCCGAGCGUUAUCCGGAUUGAUUGGGUUUAAAGGGAGCGUAGGUGGGUUCUUAAGUCAGUUGUGAAAGUUUGCGGCUCAACCGUAAAAUUGCAAUUGAUACUGGGAGUCUUGAGUACAGUAGAGGUAGGCGGAAUUCGUGGUGUAGCGGUGAAAUGCUUAGAUAUCACGAAGAACUCCGAUUGCGAAGGCAGCUUACUGGACUGCCACUGACGCUGAUGCUCGAAAGUGUGGGUAUCAAACAGGAUUAGAUACCCCGGUAGUC
rnacentral:rRNA from 1 species